rnacentral:rRNA from 1 species
AUUGAACGCUGGCGGCAUGCCUUACACAUGCAAGUCGAACGGCAGCACGGGAGCAAUCCUGGUGGCGAGUGGCGAACGGGUGAGUAAUGUAUCGGAACGUACCUUUCAGUGGGGGAUAACGUAGCGAAAGUUACGCUAAUACCGCAUAUUCUGUGAGCAGGAAAGCAGGGGAUCGCAAGACCUUGCGCUGAUUGAGCGGCCGAUAUCAGAUUAGCUAGUUGGUGAGGUAAAGGCUCACCAAGGCGACGAUCUGUAGCGGGUCUGAGAGGAUGAUCCGCCACACUGGAACUGAGACACGGUCCAGACUCCUACGGGAGGCAGCAGUGGGGAAUUUUGGACAAUGGGCGCAAGCCUGAUCCAGCCAUGCCGCGUGAGUGAUGAAGGCCUUAGGGUUGUAAAGCUCUUUUACCAGGGAUGAUAAUGACAGUACCUGGAGAUAAGCUCCGGCUAACUACGUGCCAGCAGCCG